rnacentral:tRNA from 14 species
GCGAUAUGGCCAAGUGGUAAGGCAGUGGAUUGCAAAUCCU